GACGAACGCUGGCGGCAUGCCUAACACAUGCAAGUCGAACGAAACCGUCGGGUCUAGUGGCGCACGUGUGCGUGCGACGUGGGAACCUACCCGUAGGUUCGGAAUACCUCCCCGAGGGGGAUGCUCAUACCAGAUGGUGUCUUCCGACCAAAGAUUUAUGGCCUUUGGGUGGGCGCGCGUUGGAUUAGCUAGUUGGUAGUGUACAAGCAUACCAAGGCGCCGAUGCAGAGCUGGUCGGAGAGGAAGGUCAGCUACACUGGGACUGAGACACGGCCCAGAACCGUACGGGAGGGAGGAGUGGGGAAUAUUGGACAAGGGGCGAAAGUGUGACAAAGCAAUGCCGCGGGAGUGAGGAAGGGCGUAGGGUUGUAAAGCUCUUUGACCCGGGAUGAUAAUGACAGUACCGGGAGAAUAAGCACCGGCUAACUCCGUG
rnacentral:rRNA from 1 species